GUGAACAUCGAGGCGAGAUUCGAGCAAUGUGUCCACAACCGAGGAACACCAAGGACUGCCAGCGACCCCCCGAGCUGGAGAGAGGCUUGGAACAGAGCCUGCCUCACAGCCUCAGAAGGAAACGACCCCUGCCCACACCUUGAUCUUGGACUUCUAGCCUCCAGAACUGUGCGUCCCAGAAGCAGAAUUGUUGGAUUGUGUGGUCACUCCAUGUUCGACUUUUGAGGAACCUGAGCAGAACUUGGACCGCUGCCCGCCCACUGGGUUUACUGGUGGUUUCUCUGUUCCCCUCCCCCAUCCUGGUUCUGGUGUACUCCGAAUGUCCCUUGCACUCCCUUCCACGGCCACACACUAAAUUCAGGGAACAUCUCAAUGGCCGCAUCUGGUCACAAGACAUGCACCCAUUGGCCCCAGCUCAGACUGUCUCUCUGGGAUCUCAGGCUUGUGCAGUGUGAACACAUGGCCAAGAGAGGGCAGGCAGAGGCACCAGACCCCCACUUGGUGCUGGUGAGCUGGUCCUCGCUGGAUCAGCUGCCCAGCCUGCUGGGCCCAGGCAUCCUUGUCCCCUUUAACAGAUGAGGACUGAGGGAGACACAGCUGAGUAAAAACCACUGACCUGCCAUCUACACAUUGAGGUCAUUGGAAUGAUGGCCACAUGUCAAGGUUUUUUAGGCCCUUCUGUGUCUCAACAGCUUCUGGAGGUGCUGGCUGAACUAAGGCCAAGCUUAGAAAAGACAGCCCCAAUCUCUGAUUCCGAUAACCCACCAACCUUUCCUAGUCCCGACCUGCAGGCUCCAGUCCCUGGGUCCUGCUGUGUUCUGAGGUUCCAACUGCCUUGUGCAGGGGCCUGGAACCCUGAGCCUUUCCCAGAUUCCUCUCCAAGCCGAGGACCAGAUCACCAGAGCCUUGAGUCACCUGGACCUCCCGAGCGUUUUCUGUGGAAGGAAUCUUUGGCUCCAGCAAGAAGCAGAACAGUUGAUUAAAACGUUUAUUUUCCUGCGAGGAAAGAGAAAGGAGAGUCUUCGGUUUCUCCUACCUGAUACCCUGACUAUGGCUCCUGUCCCCACUGUGCCUGCUCAGGAUGUGUCUCUGCUGUGUUGUUACCACAGCCCCCUGCCCAUCUGCAGCAAGUAAGGUUAUUCCCUUGCAUUUGUGCAAGGCAACCAAGGAAACUAAAACUUUAAGGAGGAAAGAAAUGAGAGAUGAUAACAGAUUAGCAAUUUGCAAAUUAUCCUAAGGAAAAAUGUCCUAUUAAGAAAAAAAUGAUGAGCACAUGCUAUUGAAGGGGGGUGGGGGACCAUGGCUGGGGAGAAGAAUGGACUCUAGCUCGCUGAAAUUAUAGUAUUGUCCCGUCUCCAACUACUAAGGCUCUGUUCCCUGACAAUACACUAAAUAUAUCGUUUAUUAAGCCCA